GAUGAAGAACGUAGCGAAAUGCGAUAAGUAAUGUGAAUUGCAGAAUUCAGUGAAUCAUCGAAUCUUUGAACGCACAUUGCGCCCCUUGGUAUCCCGAGGGGCAUGCCUGUUCGAGCGUCAUUUCACCACUCAAGCCUGGCUUGGUGUUGGGCGACGUCCCCUUUAGGGACGCGCCUCGAAACGCUCGGCGGCGCGGCACCGGCUUUAAGCGUAGCAGAAUCUUUCGCUUUGGAAGUCGGGGCCCCGCCUGCCGGAAUACCUACUUGCAAGGUUGACCUCGGAUCAGGCAGGGAUACCCGCUGAACUUAAGCAUAUCAAUAAGCGGAGGA
rnacentral:misc_RNA from 1 species